rnacentral:SRP_RNA from 1 species
GGUCGGGCCUCGUGGGCAGGUGUCUCGUGAACCUGGUCAGGGCUUGAUCGCAGCAGCCAUAAGCGUCGUCAUUUGCGCCGUGGGUGUCCUGGCCGCC